UACGGGGGGGGCAAGCGUUGUUCGGAAUUACUGGGCGUAAAGGGCUCGUAGGCGGCCAACUAAGUCAGACGUGAAAUCCCUCGGCUUAACCGGGGAACUGCGUCUGAUACUGGAUGGCUUGAGUUUGGGAGAGGGUAGUGGAAUUCCCGGUGUAGUGGUGAAAUGCGUAGAUAUCGGGAGGAACACCAGUGGCGAAGGCGACUACCUGGCCUGUUCUUGACGCUGAGGCGCGAAAGCUAGGGGAGCAAACGGG
rnacentral:rRNA from 1 species